rnacentral:rRNA from 1 species
UACGUAGGGUGCGAGCGUUGUCCGGAAUUACUGGGCGUAAAGGAUGCGUAGGCGGAUGUUUAAGUGAGAUGUGAAAUACCCGAGCUCAACUUGGGUGCUGCAUUUCAAACUGGAUAUCUAGAGUGCAGGAGAGGAAAGCGGAAUUCCUAGUGUAGCGGUGAAAUGCGUAGAGAUUAGGAAGAACACCAGUGGCGAAGGCGGCUUUCUGGACUGUAACUGACGCUGAGGCAUGAAAGCGUGGGGAGCAAACAGG